rnacentral:ncRNA from 1 species
ACAUUGUAAGGGCAAACUGAACUGAAAAGUCAGGACGCAAAGCCUCCGGUCUAACAGCAGGAAAGCUAAUGACAGCGGGGUUACCAAG